GGGAACUGGACAAACUGUUAAAGUAGCAGUGCUUACACAAGGUAGCUAUUCUACUCAAUUUGCUGACUUGUACCAAUUUGUUUGGCAUACUUAAUAUGUAUCUGUGCUUUUCAGUCAAGUUCCUAUCACUUUUAUCAGUGGAAAAAUGUUAUUGAACAGAGAUUUUUAGGACUAAAAGAGCCAGUUAUUAUAUAAAUUGCUGUGGAUUGUUUAAAUUGUUGAAUCCCAAAAUAUUGAACUUAGACAGUCAGAUAUAUGGUAGUAACCUUACUUUUCCUUUUCAAGUUCAUUAUAGGCUGAAUGCUCUAUCGAUGGAGCCAGUAAAGGUGUUGAAGGCAGUUUUAUCUUAAUGUAUUUCAGGAGAAUGUAUUAUCCUCAAGCAAGUUUGAUCCUUUGGGUGGGUUUUUAUUGUUCACUGGUGAAAAACUUGGGGAUUGCUGUUGGUGUAGGGUUUUAUUGGAAAGAUGGUGAAAUAGCUGAAUUUCAUCUC
rnacentral:misc_RNA from 1 species